GUGGCUCUCUCUCUGCCCCCUCAUUUCACACGUCCGCUUUUUGACGAGUUCGUCUCUCCACAACGAGAAACCAAACACUGAGAAGAAGAAGAAAGACUUAUAGCUUUUGGGCUUCAUCUCCUUAUUGCUGACCGUAUGUGAAAAUCCAAGUGCAAAUAUAUGUAUUCCCAAUGGUGUUUCUCAUUCUUUUCUUCCUUGCCAUAGCUUGAUGAGUGAGGAAGAAGAGGAAUCCGAAUGUGAAGAACAGGUACUUAUGUAGCAUGGAAGAGUUCUUGGAACGUAAAUUAGGGUUGAUGAAUUAAUUAAUUAACUUGUCAAUUCUAGAUUUUAGUAGCAUCUUAUAGAUUUUUGAAAUUGUGGAACAGGAUAAGUUAUCUUCGAUUUCGAAAGUUGGCUUCAAACAACUCCAAUUGUUGAUAUUUUUUCUAGCUUUUUUCCAUGUUUUAUCCAGUUUUCUCACAUUCGGUAUUGGGAUAGCUAAGUGGACCAUGGAUGUUGAAUUGCUCUCUUGUGAAUUGCCAGUAUGUACAAGUCACAAAAAGAGGGUAGUUUCUGGAACAAGAUUUGGACCUUUGAUUAAGACUACAGUUUUUGAAUUUUCAGUUAACUGUAAAUACAAUAUUGAAAUUGUAGACAUAGAUAGUUGACUUCUGAUAUUGGCAUAGACUGUAGUUUCUAUUGCAAAGUAUAGUGUCAAACCAAUUCCUUUUUUUAUAUAUCUUUUAUCUUUUCCAACAAAUUUGAUUAGUAUAGCUUGGUACCUCUACCAUAAAUUCUUAUUAUUUCGUGAAAUAAAUCAAUGUGUGCUCCAUCUUAUGUAAUUCUUUUUUAAAUUUUUAUUAUUUCAUGAAUUCCUAUUCCCCAAAAAACUGGGAACUGAAUUAUAUUUUGUGUAAUUAUGAUUUGAUGAAAUCAUGAUUUAUUGUUUGUAUUUGCAGUUCAUCCUUUCUAUUGGUUAAUUAUACUUUGCGAACUUUUCCACUAGACUGCUGGAGAUGGCAAAGGUGUAUUUCUUUUAAUUUUAUUUUUUAAAUAUCAAUUUGUUUGUCUUAAAUAUAUUGCGCAAUGUUUCAUUUCUUCUGAUGCUUUCAUUGUGCUCUGAAAUCGAAUUAAUUUUCUCUUCAAUCUUUUUCGCUGGUCGUCAUGGGGAUGUUUACUCUUUCUCAGUAGAGAGGGAAAUCUGUUAUUCAGUCUAAAGACAAUCAUCAUGAUGUCAGCAUGGGAGGGAAUUCCGCUAAAGAAUGCUUCGAAAUUCUAAAGUCACGUGGGAUCAUAUUUCUCCGUUCUUCAUGACAAAUCAGAAGAACCUGAAAUGUGUAAGUCUCUCUGCUUCUAUUGCUGGCAAUAAAAUGUUUAUAACCGAAAAAUGGACUCCUUACUGGAUAAAGGUGUAUUAAGAAGUUCUCUAACAACUUCAGGAAGUAAACAACCCACUCAUUCUUAUACCUGAGAAGAAAAUUUCAAACUUAAAUGUUGUAGUGAGAGUACAUGAGUUAGCUUUAAAGGUAAAUCUUUCGAAGCCUUCCAUAUGAGUUAUUGAUAUUCGAAUAAGAUUGAUCCUUUUUUGCCAUAUUUGUCCAGAGACAAAGAUGUGUAGUGAUAGUUGCCGAAGAAGUGGAAAGCGAUGCACUUGCAACUCUUAUCCUUAACAAGCUCCUUGCUAGAAUUAAGGCUUCAGAGAAAAUCCCAAAUGGUGCAGAAUGAAUUGGUCAGGCUUGGUGAACGAAUCACAAAAGCUUUGUCUAUGGAGCUUUGCCAUGAAUUUGAGGAUAAGUUCCUCUAGCACGUUACAACUGGUGAGUUGAAACUUAGCUGCAAAAGUCAUAUUUGGCUAAUUUUUGUAAUCAUACAGGAUUUUUUGAGUAACUAGGAUGAAGAAAAAUUUCAUUGUAGCAUCACUUGAUAAGUGAGAGAAUAUCUUUGGAUACUGUAACUUAUAUGAUCUUACCAUGAAUUGAAAUAUUAAUUAUGACUAGUCUUUGACACGUGCGUUGCACAAGUUUUGUA